UACGAACCGUCCAAACGUUAUUCGGAAUCACUGGGCUUAAAGAGUCUGUAGGCGGCUGAGAAAGUAGGGUGUGAAAUCCCACGCUUAACCGUGGAACUGCGCCCUAAACUACUCAGCUUGAGGGAGCUAGAGGUAAGCGGAACUGAUGGUGGAGCGGUGAAAUGCGUUGAUAUCAUCAGGAACACCGGAGGCGAAGGCGGCUUACUGGGGCUUUUCUGACGCUGAGAGACGAAAGCUAGGGUAGCGAACGGG
rnacentral:rRNA from 1 species